GCCUUCGUGGUGUAACGGUAGCACACUUGACGUGUAUUCGAGAGGCCCAGGUUGGAGUCCUGGCGAGGGCA
rnacentral:tRNA from 1 species